GCAGAUAGAUCACGUAGCGUGAGGCUGCCUGACUCCGACACAUCCUUGACCCACUGAUGCCAGGGCUGUGUGACUGUGUACUGGUCAUCGUGCCGUAUGGUGAUGAUUUCACUGAAGUUGAAUGUCCAGGAGGAGCGGCUCCUCCUCCUCCGUGAGGACAUCGCCACCAGAUGCCACUAAACCCAGGUUCUGGCGCAAAAACUGGUCUUUGUCCUUGUAGAACGAGUGGACGGCGGCGUC